rnacentral:rRNA from 1 species
UACGUAGGGUGCGAGCGUUGUCCGGAAUUACUGGGCGUAAAGAGCUCGUAGGUGGUUUGUCGCGUUGUUCGUGAAAACUCACAACUCAAUUGUGGGCGUGCGGGCGAUACGGCAGACUGGAGUACUGCAGGGGAGACUGGAAUUCCUGGUGUAGCGGUGGAAUGCGCAGAUAUCAGGAGGAACACCGGUGGCGAAGGCGGGUCUCUGGGCAGUAACUGACGCUGAGGAGCGAAAGCGUGGGGAGCGAACAGG